CUACGUGCCAGCAGCCGCGGUAAUACGUAGGUCUCAAGCGUUGUCCGGAUUUACUGGGCGUAAAGUGUCCGUAGUCUGAAUUGUAAGUCUGUUUUCAAAUCCUACGACUCAAUCGUAGAAAGGGAGUGGAUACUGCAAUUCUGGAAGUAUCUGGGGGUUAGUGGAAUUUCCGGUGGAGCGGUGAAAUGCGUUGAUAUCGGAAGGAACGCCGAAAGCGAAAGCAGCUAACUACAGAAUACUUGACGAUGAGGGACGACAGUUCGGGUAGCAAACAGGAUUAGAUACCCUGGUAGUCCGCACAGUAAACGAUGGAUGCCCGCUGUUGGUACCUGGUAUCAGCGGCUAAGCGAAAGCAUUAAGCAUCCCACCUGGGGAGUACGCCGGCAACGGUGAAACUCAAAGGAAUUGACGGGGGCCCGCACAAGCGGAGGAGCAUGUGGUUUAAUUCGAUGAUACGCGAGGAACCUUACCCGGGAUUGAA
rnacentral:rRNA from 1 species